GACGAACGCUGGCGGCGUGCUUAACACAUGCAAGUCGAACGGAAAGGCCCCUUUGGGGGUACUCGAGUGGCGAACGGGUGAGUAACACGUGAGUAACCUGCCCUUGACUUCGGGAUAACUUCAGGAAACUGGGGCUAAUACCGGAUAGGAAUCCUUGCUGCAUGGUGGGGGUUGGAAAGCUUCGGCGGUUUUGGAUGGACUCGCGGCUUAUCAGCUUGUUGGUGGGGUAGUGGCUUACCAAGGCUUUGACGGGUAGCCGGCCUGAGAGGGCGACCGGCCACAUUGGGACUGAGAUACGGCCCAGACUCCUACGGGAGGCAGCAGUGGGGAAUAUUGCACAAUGGGCGGAAGCCUGAUGCAGCAACGCCGCGGGCGGGAUGACGGCCUUCGGGUUGUAAACCGCUUUCAGCAGGGGCGAAGCUUGUGGUGACGGUACCUGCAGAAGAAGCUCCGGCUAACUACGUG
rnacentral:rRNA from 1 species